CCUACGGGUGGCUGCAGUGGGGAAUUUUGGACAAUGGGGGCAACCCUGAUCCAGCCAUGCCGCGUGCGGGAAGAAGGCCUUCGGGUUGUAAACCGCUUUCGGACGGAAAGAAAUCGCCAUCUCUAACAUAGGUGGUGGAUGACGGUACCGUAAGAAGAAGCACCGGCUAACUACGUGCCAGCAGCCGCGGUAAUACGUAGGGUGCGAGCGUUAAUCGGAAUUACUGGGCGUAAAGCGUGCGCAGGCGGAUAUUUAAGUCAGAUGUGAAAUCCCCGGGCUUAACCUGGGAAUUGCAUUUGAAACUGGAUAUCUAGAGUGCGUCAGAGGGGGGUGGAAUUCCACGUGUAGCAGUGAAAUGCGUAGAGAUGUGGAGGAACACCGAUGGCGAAGGCAGCCCCCUGGGAUGACACUGACGCUCAUGCACGAAAGCGUGGGGAGCAAACAGGAUUAGAUACCCCAGUAGUCCA
rnacentral:rRNA from 1 species